rnacentral:ribozyme from 1 species
UCGUUCACUCACCGCGCCGUCGUGCCUCAACAACAAGAAUCCACCGUCUCUUCGGCUGACAUGGAAAGUCACCACACCACUUUUCAGCCACUCGGGUCGUACUGAUCAACACUCAUUCGAUGUUGACGUGAUUUUUGGUGGCAAUUCGAAAAGAAUCGGGUUUGGCCGUCUUGGUUACAUCAUAAUG